GGCUGGUUUGACUGCAGUGGUAUUUUCAAUUAAUUGAUCACAGCCAGUUAGAGAUUUCUUGUUUUUUUCUCCACUUCCACUCUUUCACUUGACUAGACUUAA
ensembl:misc_RNA Y_RNA Y RNA